UUCACGUAGCUCAGUUGGUUAGAGCACAUCACUCAUAAUGAUGGGGUCACAGGUUCGAAUCCCGUCGUAGCCACCA
rnacentral:tRNA from 1 species